rnacentral:rRNA from 1 species
AACGAACGCUGGCGGCAGGCCUAACACAUGCAAGUCGAACGAGAAGCCACCUUCGGGUGGUGGACAGUGGCAGACGGGUGAGUAACGCGUGGGAACGUGCCUUUUGGUUCGGAACAACACAGGGAAACUUGUGCUAAUACCGGAUAAGCCCUUACGGGAAGAUUAUCGCCGAAAGAUUGGCCCGCGUCUGAUUAACUAGUUGG